GUAAAAAAAAUUGGGGUCAGAACUCAGUUAAAAUGACAUAGAAAAGCAAUUAACAGUUUCAUUGUCGUCCCAUGUUCUUCGAUCUUCACCGUUCAAACCAUUCCAUUGAAGAAGAAAGCGAAGGAACAUCUCUACACUCCAGUUCAGUAAGGGUUUGAUCAAUCAAGAAAUGGCAGCAUGGAGUUCAGAUGGUCCUGAAGGACCUUUUGUGCAAAAUGUAUCAGUUGGUACAGACAUUUGUCGAAGAAGCCUUGAAGUUGAUUUCAUCAAGAUGAAUAAUCAAUUGAAGGAACUCAAAGCAAAACUUCGCCGGUUGAAAUUUCUAAACUUAUUGUUGAUGAUUGGAAUUUUGUUGAGUUUGAUUCCAUUGUUGUUUUACAAAUUUAAGUAAAUUAGGGGGUGUGGUAAAUGUAGUAGGGUUUCUGCUCCUAAUCAAGUGGUUACUGUCACUAUUUUGUAAUCAAACGUUUGUUAGUAAUCACAGUCUUGAUUAUUUUGAUUCUAGCUGCUUAAUUUCAAAUCUUCUUCAAUGAAAUGUUAUUAGUCUUAGACCGGAGACUUAAUAUGGUCUGUCA